UCCAGGGUUCAAAGCCAAAAACUAUUUCUUCCAGUCCAUUGUCAUACUCCGGGCGGCACCCGAACGCCGGUGGUAUCCACAGCUGCGGGGAAAGAACGCCAGGCCAAUGUUAAUCACCAGCUGUACAAGUCAAUAGCCUUAAUGACUGUGACUCACCGCGCUGCAAACUGGUUUCAGGAGUCCCUAAAAAAUCCCUCCCUGUUGCUACUGAGGAAGGCUGGGAGAGGGAAGGAAGAGGGUUUCAGCUUCUGCUGUUGCUACAGUUUUUGGAGCGUUCCUGAAAGGAGCCUCCCAUAUUCUACAUUUAAAUGAACUUUGUUCUCCAAAAGCAUAUUCACUUCUUCCAGAAGUAAUUUUUUCUGCCUACAAACUAUAGAACCAUGCAAUUUUAAUAUACUUAUCAGACUUGAAAGGAUGGGAAGAUUUUGGGUAUUAACUUGUGAACUACAUUCAAAAUGUCUUACCGAAAGGUUGCAGAGGAAUAAAAAUGCAGCGAUGUUCUUCAGAAUUCUCCUCUUGUUGUUAGUAACUGAGUUGCUGCUGUAAAAUGAGAAAUCUGAGGCUGAGUGCAUGACCAAACUACUGUCCUGACUCGUUUCUUCUCUGGCAACACCAGCACCAUCAUUUUCUCUCGCAGAGAUGCUGCCUUUAAACAGACAGGAGAUGAAGGAACAAAGUUGCAAGACAUGGAGAGUGGAUAUUACAAGAAUGUGAAAUUAAGAUUACUUCAACCAACUCAGAAUUUCACCAUCAGGGAAAACAUAGAUGGGGGAAAUAAGAUUACAUCA